CCCAUCAUUCCUUGGCUUUCUCCCUUGUGGAAGGCCCCUUUGCCCUUGAAGAUCAAGAUCUUUGUUUGGCAACUCCUUAGAGAUCGUCUCCCUUCGGGGACUGAGGUGCAUAACUGGCAAGGCCUGGGGGAUGGCAUGUGUCCCUUAUGCAGGGUGCCUGAAACUGGGACUCACAUCCUAUUCUCAUGUACAGCGGCUAGGGUCUUAUGGACGUUCGCCCAUGAGGCACUAGGGCCCGACUGGGAGGUCCUGGACCUCGCGGACUUCCUCCAAACCAGGGCUACCUAA
rnacentral:rRNA from 1 species